rnacentral:lncRNA from 1 species
CAUGAUGGCUGUAUUAUAUACUCCUAAGGUUGCUGUAAGUUAUGGUUAAUACGUGUUGGUCUUGAUGAAAGUUGUUUCUUGGCGGCUGUUACAACACUCUUUUGAGAUUUAAAUUAAAAAAAAAAAUCAAAAUAAAAAAUUUGAAUCUAUUUUAUUUUUUUUUUUAUUUUAUUAAAAAAAUAUCUUUGGUCUCUUCCUCUCCUCCCUAAUCCAAUCAAUAAACAUCAUCAUCUCAUUGCCGCUUUAAAAUGUUGCGCCUCCGCUAUUCGCCACGACGCUGACACCCUGUCGCAACGCUAGCCUGAGGCAGAAAUUCCGAUUCCGACAUUAACCCAAAGAGAAGAUGCGUUGCGAAACCAGGAAGCCAUAACGAUGGAGGUGGGUUGAUCGUGGAGUUGGAUCUUCUUAAAGAGCGGCCAUGUUGCAUUCUCACUUGAUCUCGGUUUCUCCGUGACAGCGGCAGUCAUGAGCACCACGGAUGAGCAGUGGCAGCCAUGAGGAUCAAAACCAUGGCAGUGAUUUCUCUAGUCCUUGUAGGUCUCCUCAUUGUAGUACGAUGUUUGCAAGCUCCGGCGAUGGCAGAUCACAGUAGAGACGCACAAGCUACGGGGAAAGAUAUAAUUAGGCCUGAUUCGAAUAGGAUUUGGAUCGGGUAGGGGUUGAUUUUCUAUUUGUUUGUAUUAAUAGGGUG